CAACAAAGGCGGUGCUUCCUCAGGGCAGCAUGCACACUGGAGCCGCUGCUGGCUGUGAAGAGAACAAUAGUCAGACUGAAUGUUGAACAUCAGCUGCUUCCUCCUGCUGAUUUAAACCUUGGUGGACAGAUGGAACAUUGGCUGUGGAUUAUUCUGGCUGCUCUUUUCUCUGAGUGUAAAGGAGACUCAGUGAAGCAGACAGAAGGAGAAGUUGUUGCUGCUGCAGGAGAAUCACUGACUCUGAGAUGUACUUAUGAAACAUCCUAUACGACACCCACAUUGUUCUGGUAUAAGCAAGAAGAAAACAGUUUCCCAAAGUUCAUGCUGAAGCAGAUGUCAUCAACAAAAGACAAAGCUCCAGAGUUCAACAACAACAGAUUUGAUGCUGACCUCAAUAAAUCCAACAAAUCCUUCAACCUGACAAUCCAGGAUCUCCGUCUGUCAGACUCUGCUGUGUACUACUGCGCUCUGCAGCCCACAGUGACAGGAAACACCAGAACCUUAUACAAAAACCUGCAGUACUCCACAGCAGCCACUAGAGGGCAGCAGCAUCUUCACCUGGUUCCUCUCCAACAGUUCAAAGUGGGAGAAGUCAGUGGAAACCAGUGGAACCAGUUAGGAAACCCACUGGGUUAAAUAGCUCUCCAAUAAAAGCAAAGGUAUUUCUGC